CAGGACUUAACCCACUUGUGAAC
rnacentral:miRNA from 1 species